UCCGCAGGGUGCUAGCGUUGUUCGGAAUCACUGGGCGUAAAGCGCACGUAGGCGGAUUGUUAAGUCAGGGGUGAAAUCCCGAGGCUCAACCUCGGAACUGCCUUUGAUACUGGCGAUCUAGAGUCCGGGAGAGGUGAGUGGAACUGCGAGUGUAGAGGUGAAAUUCGUAGAUAUUCGCAAGAAAACCAGUGGCGAAGGCGGCUCACUGGCCCGGAACUGACGCUGAGGUGCGAAAGCGUGGGGAGCAAACAGG
rnacentral:rRNA from 1 species